UACGGAGGGGGCUAGCGUUGUUCGGAAUUACUGGGCGUAAAGCGUACGUAGGCGGCUUUGUAAGUUAGAGGUGAAAGCCUGGAGCUCAACUCCAGAAUUGCCUUUAAGACUGCCGAGCUAGCAGGUGAGAGAGGUGAGUGGAAUUCCGAGUGUAGAGGUGAAAUUCGUAGAUAUUCGGAAGAACACCAGUGGCGAAGGCGACUUACUGGACACAUAUUGACGCUGAGGUGCGAAAGCGUGGGGAGCAAACAGG
rnacentral:rRNA from 1 species